AACGUGAUGCCAGAAAACGAGGUAGACACUCAUUCUGAGCAUACAUACAUCUACUUAAAAUUAAAUACAGUAAUGUGAAACUUAAGAAAACUGUCACAAAAUAUGAUUGAAACUUUUGAUUAAAGCAAGUCAACCUUAAAAGAACGCAAUGUAUUGCGUAUCUGAACACAUAUCCAUCUUGAGUGUAUGCUUCUUUACACGAAGGAUCGGUUUUGUCACAUAAGAGUGAUGCCUUGAACAAAAAGUUUUAUAAAACAACAUUGGCGAUAAAAUUGAAUAGUUGACAGUGCUCGGCACAGAAAUAAUAUUCAUUAGCAUGACUAUGAAUCGUUAUAAAACAUUAGGACCUCUGGGGGAUGGAACCUACGGACAGGUUUGGCUUGGACAAAGAUUGGAUACUGGAGAGAAAGUCGCAAUUAAAAGAAUGAAGAAGAAAUACAGCACAUGGGACGAGGCGAUGAGUCUUCGAGAGGUUAAGUCUCUGAGAAAGCUUAGUCACUCCAAUGUCGUCAAGCUCAAGGAAGUUAUUCGAGAAAAUGAUACCCUUUACUUUGUGUUUGAAUAUAUGAAAGAAAAUUUAUACCAACUGAUGCGUAACCGAUAUGAACGGGGGGAGAAAAUUUUUCCCGAAGAAAUAAUCCAAAAGAUGAUGUUCCAAGUGCUCCAAGGCUUAGCAUUCAUGCAUAGAUCUGGCUUUUUCCACCGUGAUCUCAAACCGGAAAACUUGUUGUGCAUGGGCAUUGAUGUAAUCAAGAUUGCCGAUUUCGGACUCGCCCGAGAAAUACGCUCACGACCCCCGUACACGGAAUACGUUUCAACAAGAUGGUAUCGUGCUCCGGAAGUUUUAUUACGGGCUCCUUUUUAUUCUUGUCCCAUUGAUAUAUGGGCAGUUGGGUGCAUUAUUGCAGAAUUGUUUACAUAUCGACCAUUGUUUCCGGGGACAAGUGAAAUUGACGAAUUGUUCAAAAUAUGCUCAAUCAUGGGAACUCCAGACAAGGGCUGGCCUGAAGGACAUCAACUGGCCAAACAAAUGAAUUUCAAGUUUCCACAGUUUGAAGCAACUCCUCUUACAAAACUUGUCCCAAAUGCGAGCAAGGAUGCAAUAUAUCUUAUAGAGGACAUGUUGCGUUGGAAUCCUAGGCACCGACCGAAUGCGAAUCAGUCUUUACGAUACUCUUUCUUCAACAAUAUUCGCGACAGGGAGGAAAACUUGGCCAACGGAGAGCUUAUUCCAACACAACAAAUCGCCAUCACCACCCAACCUUCCCAACGGGUUUCAGUGAAUGUUCCCAUUUCUUACCAGACCGUUAAAGCCGAAGUAUACGAACCAAUUACAAAAAUCCUCGACUCCAAAUGGGAACGUGACUAUUAUGCUUCUGCUGCUUCGGACGAGUUUGAUGGGAAUCACAAUCAGAUCGAUAACAAAAUUUCGAGGUAUAUUUCUGGAAACGGGUAUCGACCUGCAGUGCCUCAAUACCAGCAGAACCAACCUGUCAAAUCCACGAUAUUUAAGAAUGAGAGCUCAGCUAAAGAGGAAAGCCGAACACGUUUCGCUUCCGUGUCUGGGAACAAGGGGUCAGGACAAAACAGAGCUGAGGGAUCUUAUUCCAACGCCCAACAACGUGGAUAUCCUUCAACAACAUACGAAACUCGGAGAAGUGCAUUUUUGCAAGCAUCCGAAUCGGCGUCAAAAUCUGGAAGUUCUAAACAACCUACUGCUUUAAGACGAAUAGAUUGGGCAGCGAAAUACCUUACUUAUGGCCAAUCAUAAUUUAUUUAUGGAGAAUAACCCCAAGAAUCAAGUACAUAUAAAUGUACAUAGACCCAGCCGAACCAAUAAUAAUAAAAUUAUCCAUUUAUGCAUGCAAUUAAAUGACUGAUAUGAGUGAUACCAUUUGUAUGAAUGCAAGUCUAUCAAUUGGAUUAAGAAAUAUUAAACAAAUGUAUACUUUUUGAACUUA